UACGAGGGGGGCGAGCGUUGUUCGGAAUUAUUGGGCGUAAAGGGCGCGUAGGCGGUUUGACAAGUCUUAUGUGAAAUCUCUGGGCUCAACCCAGAGUCUGCAUGGGAAACUGUCGGGCUUGAGUAUGGGAGAGGUGAGUGGAAUUUCCGGUGUAGCGGUGAAAUGCGUAGAUAUCGGAAGGAACACCUGUGGCGAAAGCGGCUCACUGGACCAUAACUGACGCUGAGGCGCGAAAGCUAGGGGAGCAAACAGG
rnacentral:rRNA from 1 species